GCUAAUGAAGACUAUGUUCAAACUGCUAAGGGCCUGACUCUGAGGUACUGCUUUAUAAAAGACAUGGAUAUGAUAUUGAUGUUGUUGGAGAGGAUGCUACAUCAAUAAUGGGACAUGUGAAAGUCCUGCAGGACCAGUCCAGAAGGACACAGCCAGAUACUUGCAUUGUUGAAGAGUGAAUGAGGAAGACCAUUGCCUGUAGGAGAAAGAAGAUUACUAGUAGGAUGACUGUUGAAGAUGCUGUCUACAAGUAUCCAUUCUUGAAGAGUCCAUCAGGGCUUUAUCAAGAAAUUGGUUUCCUGUAUAAAUCUGUUAAUCUAUGCCGCCACUUUCAAGACAUUUUAGAAACAUUGCAUCCAGUGUGCUACGGCUCGCUCAAGGGAAAUCUCUUGUAUCAAAAUUGCACAAAGAAGCUAGAGAAGAAUCUCUCAGUGAAGACCAUCUUGAAUUGUUUUAGAAGCAGCACCUUCUCAUGUUGCCAGCCUUGUUCAGAGAG